CUGUUGCACCAGAAGUAGUUAGCCUAACCGCAAGGAGGGCGAUUACCACGGUGUGGCCAAUGACUGGGGUGAAGUCGUAACAAGGUAGCUGUAGGUGAACCUGCAGAAGGAUCA
rnacentral:rRNA from 1 species